GCCGGGGUGAUGCAAUCUGGCAGACAUCCCUGACUCAGACUCAGGGUCAUGUGGGUUCGACCCCCACCCCCGGUACCA
rnacentral:tRNA from 1 species